rnacentral:rRNA from 1 species
UACGUAGGGGGCUAGCGUUGUUCGGAAUCAUUGGGCGUAAAGGGCGCGUAGGCGGCUUUAUAAGUCGGGGGUGAAAGCCUGUGGCUCAACCACAGAAUUGCCUUCGAUACUGUAGAGCUUGAGUCCGGAAGAGGUAAGUGGAACUGCGAGUGUAGAGGUGAAAUUCGUAGAUAUUCGCAAGAACACCAGUGGCGAAGGCGGCUUACUGGUCCGGUUCUGACGCUGAGGCGCGAAAGCGUGGGGAGCAAACAGG